CGUGACCACACCGAGGAGACUGUAUUUGUCCUGAACCUUGUCCCUUGUCCGUCUCUCUCUUCUUCUUCUUGUUCUACCUCUACCACUGUUGCAGCAAUGAAGAAGAGGAAGAGAGGAAAUGACUCCCAGUUAAAAAAGGAGGGGCUUAAGAAGAAAAAGGGUUGUCGAAAAUGUAGUAGACAGAAAAUAUUCCAGUUUGGCUCAAUUUCUGGGAGAAGGAUACAUGAGUGGCAAAACCUGGGAUGACACAUGGGAGCCUGCAAACACAUUUGCACAACAACACCACACUGCCACCCCUGAGUCUCCUCCUCCUUCUGGUUCAGUUAGCUGAACCUAACUGGUUGGGCUCUACUCACAGCAGGGGAAAAGAGACAAUCGACAGAAAUGACUGACACUGAGCUCAAAUCCAAUACUGUGCUGCAACACGUGUCUUUUGUUUUUAUUGAAGGAAUGUGUUCAUGGAUCUUGUGUUCUAUGCCAUUCACACAUCAACCAUGUUAAAUUACAUCUGGUAAACAUCAAUCAUUUAUUAAGCUCAACAUGUAAGAAAGUCAAUCAAAUCAAAUAGAAAUCAUCAUUCUUAUACUUCAAGUACCAGCACACUAGGGCUAUUGAGUGUUUAGGCUUGCUGAACUUCAGUUAAGUGUUGGCACAGUGCAUGUACCCAGUAUAUGUUUGUGUUUCUUCCAGACAGUUGACACACAUUAAGCACGUUUUGUAUUUGUCAUUAACUGAGGUUGUCAUAGUUUGUAUGCAUGCAUGUAGCCUAUUUAUUUCACACUGAGAGUCAAAAUCCACAAACAGUAGAUUCAUACAUUACUUAACGAGCUAGAUUAUUGGAAUUGCUCCACAAAUAUAGCAAGUGAUGAUAAACUAUUUAGAAAAUACAAUAAAGAAAGAUUAGGAACAAACAGACAAUCAGCCAAUAAUAGGCUUUCAUAUCCAAAUAAGAUUAG